rnacentral:tRNA from 1 species
GGCUCCUUGGUCAAGUGGUUAAGACAUCGCCCUUUCACGGCGGUAUCACGGGUUCGAAUCCCGUAGGGGUCA